CAGAGACUGCGAGCGUUAUUCGGAUUCACUGGGCGUAAAGGGUGCGCAGGCGGCCGUGUGUGUGAGGCAUGAAAGCCUGGAGCUUAACUCCAGAAUUGCACCUCAAACUACACGGCUAGAGCAUUGGAGAGGGUAGCAGAAUUCAUGGUGUAGCAGUGAAAUGCGUAGAUAUCAUGAGGAAUACCAGAGGCGAAGGCGGCUACCUGGACAAUUGCUGACGCUCAGGCACGAAAGCGUGGGGAGCAAAAGGGAUUAGAUACCCCUGUAGUCCACGCCCUAAACGGUGCACACUAGGUCUUGGCGGAUUCGACCCCGCCAGGGCCCAAGCUAACGCGUUAAGUGUGCCGCCUGAGGACUACGGCCGCAAGGCUA
rnacentral:rRNA from 1 species